rnacentral:rRNA from 1 species
GACGAACGCUGGCGGCAUGCCUAAUACAUGCAAGUCGAACGCAGUUGCGAACGGGUGAGUAACGCGUAGGUAACUGCCUGGUAGCGGGGGAUAACUAUUGGUAACGACAGCUACUAAUGCAUACUACCAGCUGCACCUGCGUUGUAUUAGGUAGUUGGUGGGGUAACGGCUUACCAAGGCAACCAUACAUAGCCGACCUGAGUGGGGGAACGGCCACACUGGGACUGAGACACGGCCCAAACUCCUACGGGAGGCAGCAGGAGGGAAUCUUCGGCAAUGGACGGAAGUCUGACCGAGCAACGCCGCGGGAGUGAAGAAGGGUUUCGGAUUGGAAAGCUCUGUUGUAAGGGAAGCGGUAUCUUACCAGAAAGGGACGGCUAACUACGUGCCAGCAGCCGCGGUAAUAC